AUUAACACGUGGGUAACCUGCCUGUAAGACUGGGAUACUCCGGGAACCGGAGCUAAUACCGGAUAGUUCCUUGAACCGCAUGGUUCAAGGAUGAAAGACGGUUUCGGCUGUCACUUACAGAUGGACCCGCGGCGCAUUAGCUAGUUGGUGAGGUAACGGCUCACCAAGGCGACGAUGCGUAGCCGACCUGAGAGGGUGAUCGGCCACACUGGGACUGAGACACGGCCCAGACUCCUACGGGAGGCAGCAGUAGGGAAUCUUCCGCAAUGGACGAAAGUCUGACGGAGCAACGCCGCGUGAGUGAUGAAGGUUUUCGGAUCGUAAAGCUCUGUUGUUAGGGAAGAACAAGUGCAAGAGUAACUGCUUGCACCUUGACGGUACCUAACCAGAAAGCCACGGCUAACUACGUGCCAGCAGCCGCGGUAAUACGUAGGUGGCAACGUUGUCGGAUAUUGGGCGUAAGGGCUCGCAGGCGGUUUCUUAAGUCUGAUGUGAAAGCCCCCGGCUCAACCGGGGAGGGUCAUUGGAAACUGGGAAACUUGAGUGCAGAAGAGGAGAGUGGAAUUCCACGUGUAGCGGUGAAAUGCGUAGAGAUGUGGAGGAACACCAGUGGCGAAGGCGACUCUCUGGUCUGUAACUGACGCUGAGGAGCGAAAGCGUGGGGAGCGAACAGGAUUAGAUACCCUGGUAGUCCACGCCGUAAACGAUGAGUGCUAAGUGUUAGGGGGUUUCCGCCCCUUAGUGCUGCAGCUAACGCAUUAAGCACUCCGCCUGGGGAGUACGGUCGCAAGACUGAAACUCAAAGGAAUUGACGGGGGCCCGCACAAGCGGUGGAGCAUGUGGUUUAAUUCGAAGCAACGCGAAGAACCUUACCAGGUCUUGACAUCCUCUGACAACCCUAGAGAUAGGGCUUUCCCUUCGGGGACAGAGUGACAGGUGGUGCAUGGUUGUCGUCAGCUCGUGUCGUGAGAUGUUGGGUUAAGUCCCGCAACGAGCGCAACCCUUGAUCUUAGUUGCCAGCAUUCAGUUGGGCACUCUAAGGUGACUGCCGGUGACAAACCGGAGGAAGGUGGGGAUGACGUCAAAUCAUCAUGCCCCUUAUGACCUGGGCUACACACGUGCUACAAAUGGACAGAACAAAAGGGCUGCGAGACCGCAAGGUUUAGCCAAUCCCACAAAUCUGUUUCUCAGU
rnacentral:rRNA from 2 species